CGUGUUCCCUGCAUGUUCUUCUGGUAUGUUGGGGAGCUGAUUUCAGACUCAGAAGCCGACGUUCGAGAGGAAGAUUCUUACCUCUUUGAUCUCGACAAUA
rnacentral:sRNA from 1 species